rnacentral:lncRNA from 1 species
AAAUUUAGGAUUCUAAUAAAUAUAUAAAUAAAUAUUUAAAAAAUAUAUAAAAAAUUUUAAAAAAUAGUUUCAAACAUAAUUUUUGUUUUUCAAUAAAAAAGUAAAAAAAUUCGAAAAAAAAUUUCAAAAAAAAAAUUAUAAAAAGUUUGAAUUUGAAAAAGUAUAAUUCGAAAACAUAAUUUUUUUUACUUUUAUUUAUUUUUUCUUUUUA